GCAAUCAAUUUUGUAGUUUUUUUGCUGCAAGCUUUCGUUCUGCUUGAUCGUAACAUCCUCCCAACCACAUUAUUUUGUUUACACAACUUUUAACAGCCACCAAAUGUUUUCUUUGUAUUCGAUCACUCCAUAGGGAUAUCGAAAAUCCUAGCCAUAGACGAUGCUUACUUCAUUAAAUCCUCUCCAUCGUUUACCCCGACAACCAUCCAACCAGUCGUUGUUCGUGUGACGCUGCCAACCAACUACCGCACCAUAAUUAAUGUAGGGGAUUAAAGGAAAAAAUGAUGGUGUUGUUAAGACAUGAGAUCUGAAUUCCGUAUGACCUGAUCGCAAAUUGGUCAUUUCUUCUUCUUCUUCUUCUUCUAACCCAACUACAACUCAAUAAAUAAGUUUACUGUGAAAAUUCAAUCCUUUCUCCAUGGUAGCUGAUUUGUUAAACCUCUGAUCUCGGUCUAUAAAUAUCCUUAUACAAAUCAGGUUAUAUCUAUUUUUUUUGGCAGCCUAUAAAAUGAUUGUGGUUUUUUUUUUUUUUUGUAACUAAUAUAGUUACUAUUUAUAUAUUUUGGAAUGCUUAUAUCGUUUCCAUCUCGAAUACUAUGAUAAGUUGGCAGACAAUGUUGGAUUCCCCACUUGGGAAAGGAAGAUAAAAUAUCUUUGUAUUUUAGCUUUGGUAACUCAGAUAUACACUUGGAGACUUGUCAGGGUUCUAUAUGAUUAAGCAUAUAGUGUUUUGGGAAUUAAGUCAUCUUAUUCAUGUGAUGUUUUUAUGUUAUUUUUAGAAUAGUUAUAUUUGGUUUCUUCGAUUGUGUUCCUACAUAUCUUUUUUGUCCUUGGUUUACUUCUUUUGAUCAUAUGCCUUUCAACUCCAAUCUAUUUUCUAGUCAUCUGAAAUGCAUCAGGAAUUUCACAAACACGGUGGAUUUGGUCAAACUCCUCUUAAAGUGCUAAGGUUAUACAUAUUUCUUUUGUGUUUUUUCUCUUGAUUUAAAUGAAAACUCUUAAUUUUCAAGAACUUCUAGCUGGCUAUUGACUUGAGUUGUAAUGGUCAAAGUAUGGAACAACAAGAUGAUAUAAGUGAUUUUAGAUAAAAGGGUUAAUGUCAUUAUAGCCAAUCCAAUUUUUAAAGUUUAUUUUAUUUGGUCAUUGAAGUUUUUUUUUUGUGCAUUCUAAGUCACCAAAGUUUCAAAUUUAGUGUUAAAAAGGGGAAUAUCACCAAGAUGAAGGGGUCACCCGGUCAUAUAGGUGAGUUGGUGGAUAUGUGGCAUUUUGGUCAAUUGAACUCUUCCAUGUGACAUUUUGGUCGACCACAUUAAUCAUCUUUUUAUAGAGAAAUAAAUCUCUCAUUUAUGAGUAUGAUUCAAAAUCUAUUAUCUUUCGUUUGUUAUCUAUCGUCUUUCUCUCGUAAAUAUGGUUUGUAUGUGUGUAUCUUCGAGUUACAGGUUUUUGGGCUUCUCGUUGCUGCAAAUAGACAUGGAUUUCUUAUUGCUAGGAAGUUCAAGUAAGGUCUUUUAAACCGUAAAGCUUCAAAAAACAUCAGAAACAAAUCCUGGUUUGUAAUAAAUGUAUAACAUAAACAAAUUUUUCACUAAAAUAUCUUAUUCACACGUUUUUUUUUCUCAAUUCCAUAUAGGGAUAAUGACUUAAAAGGGGAAUAUAUUUUUUGAUCUGUAUACAUUUAGUCACUGUGUUUUUUUUUCGUCCACAUUUACCUCUUCAACUUGUUAAACUGUACAUAUUUAGUCCUUAUGACCGGCUACUCCAGGUUAGCCGGUAAAAAUGACUUAAUAGGGUAAUAUAUUUCUCACUUUGUACACAUUUAGUCCUUAAUAUUUUUUUGUUGCAAAAUAAAUCCUUUUUGUUUUUGUAUUAAUUCAGUACUUAUGAAUGAUUUUUUAGGUUUUUUCUCACGACAUCUUAUGUGGAAUGGUCAUAUGGUGAUGAGAUAGGUUAAGAUGGUCCUGCUAUAUGUUUUAGGACAAGAUACCUAGUGCGGGUCAGCUAUAAGCUAUAGGCACGGAGACUCGAGAAGAGCGAUUGGGUUAAGGCGGCAUGCCAACAAACCUUGGGUAUUCCAGUCUGAUGAUUGAUUAGACCUGUUGCAUGUUGACAUUCCAGUCUGAUGACUGAUUGGGCCAAGUUGUUUAUGUUUUCAGGUUCUAUCAUUGGUCGUGGAAAGGAGAAUGCAUGACUGUACACACACAUCAACAAUAUUGAGGACUCCACAUUUCUUAUAUUACUUCAAUUUUCGAUAAAUGUAUUUUGGAAUAGACAUUUUUUCUUAAUAAUGGCUUUAUAAUUA